UGGGUUAGUGGCGGACGGGUGAGUAACGCGUGGGUAACCUGCCUUACACAGGGGGAUAACACUUAGAAAUAGGUGCUAAAACCGCAUAAGCGCACAGCUUCGCAUGAAGCGGUGUGAAAAACUCCGGUGGUGUAAGAUGGACCCGCGUCUGAUUAGCUUGUUGGCGGGGUAACGGCCCACCAAGGCGACGAUCAGUAGCCGGCCUGAGAGGGCGGACGGCCACAUUGGGACUGAGAUACGGCCCAGACUCCUACGGGAGGCAGCAG
rnacentral:rRNA from 1 species